CGAAGCUCGGAACCAAUGUUUGAAGUCUGAAGUCUGAAGUCUGAAGUCCGAAGUCUGAAGUCCGAAGUCUGAAGUCUGAAGUCUGAAGUCUGAAGUCCGAAGUCUGAAGUCUGAAGUCUGAAGUCUGAAGUCCGAAGUCUGAAGUCUGAAGUCCGAAGUCUGAAGUCUGAAGUCUGAAGUCCGAAGUCCGAAGUCUGAAGUCUGA